rnacentral:rRNA from 1 species
UACGUAGGGUGCAAGCGUUAAUCGGAAUUACUGGGCGUAAAGCGUGCGCAGGCGGUUAUGUAAGACAGAUGUGAAAUGCCCGGGCUUAACCUGGGAACUGCGCUUCUAACUGGCAGGCUUGAGUGUGGCAGAGGGGGGGUGGAAUUCCACGUGUAGCAGUGAAAUGCGUAGAGAUGUGGAGGAACACCGAUGGCGAAGGCAGCCCCCUGGGCUAACACUGACGCUCAUGCACGAAAGCGUGGGGAGCAAACAGG